rnacentral:rRNA from 1 species
UACGGGGGGAGCAAGCGUUGUUCGGAUUUACUGGGCGUAAAGGGCGCGUAGGCGGCGCGACAAGUCACUUGUGAAAUCUCCGGGCUUAACCCGGAGCGGCCAAGUGAUACUGUAGUGCUAGAGUGCGGAAGGGGCUACUGGAAUUCUCGGUGUAGCGGUGAAAUGCGUAGAUAUCGAGAGGAACACCUGCGGCGAAGGCGGGUAGCUGGGCCGACACUGACGCUGAGGCGCGAAAGCUAGGGGAGCGAACGGG